AANUUUAUAUCUUGAAACUGCGAACGGCUCAUUAAAUCAGUUAUAAUCUACUUGAUUGUAAAAUCUACAUGGAUAACUGUAGUAAUUCUAGAGCUAAUACAUGCAAAAAAUCCUGACUGUUAUAGAAAGGAUGUAUUUAUUAGGUACAAAAUCAAUGCUGGCACUUGUGUCAGGUUUAUUGAUGAUUCAUAAUAACUAAACGAAGCGCACGACCUUGAGUUGGCGCUGAUACAAACGAGUUUCUGCCCUAUCAACUUUCGAUGGUAGUAUAGAGGACUACCAUGGUUUCAACGGGUAGGGGNA
rnacentral:rRNA from 1 species